rnacentral:tRNA from 1 species
GCAGAGGUGGCGGAAUGGCAGACGCGCAGGUUUCAGGUACCUGUGGUGGCAACACCAUGUGGGUUCAACUCCCAUCCUCUGCACCA